GGGUGCGCGCACUGCAUGCUAGCAGCUAAUAGUUAGCCUGUUAGCAUUAGUUUGGUAGACACUGACCGGAAGCUGCCGGUUUCCCGCCCAAAGAGCACAAACGGAGCCGAUUAACCGAUCGAUCGUUAACUUCGUGCUACCUGACCGACAACUAUCCGCUGCUGCUGCUGUUGCUGCUGUUGGCUGACCUUCUGCUGACCGGCAACAUGAAGCUCUCAGCAUCAAGCCCACCGCUUCCGGGGUCAGAGGUCAGCUGAUGGUGAGACAGGCGGCGUGCAGACGGCGUCUCUCUCCCGAGGCUCGGUUAAACGAGUGGAAGCUGUUUAGAGCAAACGGAGCGAAAGAACAAGGAGAGAGGAAGGAGUGCGAGGAGCGAGUGAAGGCCCGAAACACCACACGGCAGCUCCUCCUCCGCCCAAACAAACAGCCUCACCCUGCAGAGCCUCCAUCUUCACCUCCACCUGCAGUUUGCUCGUCUUCAGCUCAUUCACCGGACCUGCAGAA
ensembl:lncRNA